rnacentral:rRNA from 1 species
GCGCCCGGGCUAAAGCCCCGACGGGAGGGGAUGGCUCCGCGGCCCAUCAGGUAGACGGCGGGGUGACGGCCCACCGUGCCGACAACGGGUAGCCGGGUUGAGAGACCGACCGGCCAGAUUGGGACUGAGACACGGCCCAGACUCCUACGGGAGGCAGCAGUGGGGAAUCUUGCGCAAUGGGGGGAACCCUGACGCAGCGACGCCGCGUGCGGGACGGAGGCCUUCGGGUCGUAAACCGCUUUCAGCAGGGAAGAGUCAAGACUGUACCUGCAGAAGAAGCCCCGGCUAACUACGUGCCAGCAGCCGCGGUAAUACGUAGGGGGCGAGCGUUAUCCGGAUUCAUUGGGCGUAAAGCGCGCGUAGGCGGCCCGGCAGGCCGGGGGUCGAAGCGGGGGGCUCAACCCCCCGAAGCCCCCGGAACCUCCGCGGCUUGGGUCCGGUAGGGGAGGGUGGAACACCCGGUGUAGCGGUGGAAUGCGCAGAUAUCGGGUGGAACACCGGUGGCGAAGGCGGCCCUCUGGGCCGAGACCGACGCUGAGGCGCGAAAGCUGGGGGAGCGAACAGGAUUAGAUACCCUGGUAGUCCCAGCCGUAAACGAAAGACGCUAGGUGUGGGGGGACGAUCCCCCCGUGCC